UACGUAGGGGGCAAGCGUUGUCCGGAUUUAUUGGGCGUAAAGAGCGUGUAGGCGGUUAGGUAGGUCCGUUGUGAAAACUCGAGGCUCAACCUCGAGACGCCGAUGGAAACCAUCUGACUAGAGUCCGGAAGAGGAGAGUGGAAUUCCUGGUGUAGCGGUGAAAUGCGCAGAUAUCAGGAGGAACACCAAUGGCGAAGGCAGAUCUCUGGGCCGUAACUGACGCUGAGGAGCGAAAGCAUGGGGAGCGAACCGG
rnacentral:rRNA from 1 species